rnacentral:lncRNA from 1 species
CAUGAGGACAUGGGUUCGAUCCCUGGCCUUGCUCAUGGAUUAAGGAUCCGGCGUUGCCGUGAACUGUGGUGUGGGUCACAGAUGCAGCUGGGAUCCAGCAUUGCUGUGGCUGUGGUAUAGGCUGGCAGCUAUAGCUCUGAUUCGACCCCUAGCCUGGAACCUCUAUAUGCUGCUGGUGCGGCCCUAAAAUGACAGAAGCCCCCCCCCAAAAAAAUUGCUCUGUAUUCUUUAUGUCUAAAACCAAAAUCACCAGUUUUUUAUAUCUAUUAGUUAGGACUAAUAAAUUAUUUAAGGAAUUCCUGUUGUGGUGCAGCAGAAAUGAAUCCAAUGGGAACCAUGAGGUUUCAGGUUCAAUCCCUGGCCUUGCUCAGUGGGUUAAGGAUCCAGCAUUGCUGUGACCUGUGGCGUAGGUUGCAGAUGCAGCAGCAGCUCUGAUUAGGCCCCUAACCUGGGAACCUCCAUAUGCUGUGGGCAUGGCCCUAAAAAAAAAAAAAAAAAGAAAUAAUUUUAAGAUCUGGAAGGGAGAGUUGAUAUGUGAUGUUAGAAUAUAAUGGUCUAAACAUUCUUUUGCCCUAACAAACCGCAGACUCAUUCAGUCAGGUGUCUGUUGAGGCAAUCUAGCCUCGUACCUGCAUUUGCAUCCAUGCAGUCUACCUUUUCUCCUGGCCAGAUGCCUACAAAGCCAAGGGCCCAUUCAGGCUCCAGGAUCCAUCUCCUCUCACCUCUUCAGGGCCUGGAGUCCAUCCCUCCUAACACAUAAGGAUGUUGGUCCACCAAUAUGCUUUCUUGAAUCAUCAGUUUUCCCAUCUCCACUAGGAUCUCUCCUCUGAAUGCCAACAUGGUAUGUUGUUUCUCGUAAAGAUCGUAAAGUCUUUCUUUUGAUCCCAUCUACUGUCCCUGCUAUAUCUUCUCUCCUUUUUCAGCAAAAUCCUUGAGAGUUUUGUACAAUUGCUGCCUCUAGUCUUCAUUCAUUACGAAAUCCAAUCCAACCAGUCUACUGAACUGCACUAUCAAGAUCACCAUGACUGCCAUGUUGUUAAAUCCAAGGGUUAAGUCUCAAACAUCUCACUUGUUGUGCAAUUACUCCCCUCUUGGAAACACCCUGCUCCUCUUGGCUUCCAGGAUGCCAUACUUUCCCACUUUGCUGGUUGUGCCCUCUGUCUUCCUUGGUUUCUCUUCAUCUCCACAGAUGUCAUGGUAGAGUACCGUGAACUUUUCUGUUUAUACUAGGUCCCUUUUUUAAAAUUUUUAAAUUAGAGUUGAUUAUAAAAUUAUAGUUGGCAGAAUUUUGUGCCAAUUUCAGCUGUACAACAGACUCAGUUAUACAAAUAUAUACACAUAUAUUUCUGUGUGUGUAUAUAUAUAUUUACAUAUUAUUUUAAAUUUUCUUUUCCAUCAUGAUCUAUCCUAGGACAUUGGAUAUAGUUCUCUGUGCUAUACAGUAGGACCUUUCUAAAUGUGAUAGUUUGCAUCUACUAACCCCAAACUCCGUCUCUCUCCCUCCCCUCUCCCCCUUGGCAACCACAAACCUGUUAUCUAUGUCUGUGGGUCUGCUUCUGUUUUAUAGAUAGGUUCAUUUGUGCCAUGUUUAAUUUAAUUAAUUUAUUUUGGCUAUGCCCAUAGCAUGUGAAAGCUCUCAGGCCAGGGAUCAAACCCAAGCCAUAGCAGUGACAAUGCUGAAUCCACUAGGCCAUCAGGGAAUGCUCAUGUGCCAUAUUUCAGAUUCCACAUGUAAGUGAAACGGUAUUUGUCUUUCUGACCUACUUCACUUAGUAUGAUAAUCUCUAGUUUCUUGCACAUUGCUGCAUCAUUCUCUUGGUUUUACAUACCAUUUAUACGCUGAUGAUUCUCAAACUUACAUUCCUAGUCAUAACCUCUCCCCAACUCCAGACUCAUAAUAGUGAUUUUUUAAAAUACCAGAAAUAGUGCAAAGAUGACUUCAAAGUGAGAACAUCUGAGCUUUAACAGAUGCUGAAAGAACUUAUCUGACUUCUCUUAUUUGACUCAAACAAGAGCUUCAUGACAAUCAGUGACCUGCCCUUCCCAGCAAGUGUCCUGUCAGGGAAGUGACCAACCUCAAGCAUUCCAAAACUCAGCUCAACUCAUUUCAGUAAGCCCUAUCAGAACUUUCCAUCCUUGGAAGACCUAAACUUCCCCUGUCUCUGCUGCCCUUUAUUAAGCUGGCAUAUAACCCUUUACCUCUCGCUGUUUGGGGACCUACUCUAGAGUACGCCUCCAUGCAUAAUAAACUUUUCUCUCCUGCUGGUCAAUUAAUUUGCCGGCUCUGAUAACUAGGACCUUGGGUAGAGAACAGAAUUUCCUCCCAUCAAUAACUUAAACACCUCCUUGAUAGCUCUAUUUGGUUGAAAAGAGGCAUCCUGUACUGAGUCCCAAAGGAAACUCUGACCUCCAAACCUCCGCCCCCACAUCCUCAUCCUGCUUCUAUUGCCUAGACACCCAGAAUCUAACCACUUCCCACCGACCCCACGGUUACCACUGUGGUUCCCAGUCACAGUCCAUUCUCGCCUGGGUUGUUACAAUAGACUCCCCACCUGUCCUGAUUUAGCCUCUGCCUCACUUCAGGCUACUCUCAACAUAGUGACCAGAGUGAUCUCGCUUAAAUGAUCAAAUCACUUUUCUGCUCGAAGCGCUCUCACUUAAGUCCUUACAAGGUCCCAUAAGACCCUAGAUCUGCCUGUGGCCCC